CUGGUACUCCCUCCGUCCCAAAAUUCUUGUCUCAGAUUUGUCUAAAUACGGAUGUAUCAAGUCACGUUUUAGUAUUAGAUACAUUCGUAUCUAGACAAAUCUAAGUCGAGAAUUUUGGGACGGAGGGAGUAUUUC
rfam:Triticum aestivum genome assembly, contig: Triticum_aestivum_CS42_TGACv1_scaffold_320718_4BL